UCCGUGUUCUGUCCCUGCUGUGCACAGGGUGCAAUGGUGAGCCCAGCAGAGCCAAGCGCAGGGCAACGUGGAACACAAGCGCUCUGCUCUUCACCGCUGUUUGGGGCUGAGUUUUUUUCCACCCCUCCUUGCCAAACCGCGCGGGCUCCAAGUUGGCUCUUGUGCUGUAGAGGAGAUGGGGGAACUCAAGGGGUCAAGAGCACAAAAUGCACGCAGCUGCUCUCGGUGCCGCGCCGACGGCCCCACACUUCACUGCUUGGGCUUCUGGAGCCAGCGCUGUUCUGGGUUUCCAUACGAAAGGCAUUAAAAACAAACAGCAAAAAGCAGAACUGAUUUGUGCUUGGAGUUGGCCGCCCUCGGAUUUCACCUUUGUUUGCCACUGACAGACAGGUGCCCCAAAAUGGCCAAGAUGCCGCCUUCCCACGAAGUCUCUCCCAGUGGAAGCCGAUGGGCAGAAAUUCCCACAGAGAUGAGAAAAGCCGCAGGGCAGAACGAUGCAGAUGGGAACAAAAACCCAGGGACGGCGACUGGAACCCGAAGCUGCUGCAGAACCGCGUUCAAGGCUUUGUAAUGAGAAAUAAAGGAUCUGUUUCUGCUC